rnacentral:rRNA from 1 species
AACGAACGCUGGCGGCGUGCUUAACACAUGCAAGUCGAGCGGUAAGGCCCUUUCGGGGGUACGACGAGCGGCGAACGGGUGAGUAACACGUGGGUGACCUGCCCUCAGCUCUGGGAUAAGCCUGGGAAACCGGGUCUAAUACUGGAUAUGACUCCAUGACGCAUGUUGUGGGGUGGAAAGCCUUGUGCGGCUGAGGAUGGGCCCGCGGCCUAUCAGCUUGUUGGUGGGGUGANGGCCUACCAAGGCGACGACGGGUAGCCGGCCUGAGAGGGCGACCGGCCACACUGGGACUGAGACACGGCCCAGACUCCUACGGGAGGCAGCAGUGGGGAAGUCUUGCGCAAUGGGCGAAAGCCUGACGCAGCGACACCGCGUGAGGGAUGACGGCC